ACACCCCACUAUGCCUGUCACACACACACACACCUGUCACCCCCUACAUAUCUGUCACCCCCCACACAUACCCGUCACACACCCCACACACCUGUCACACUCCUCCACACCUGUCACUCCUACACACACCUGUCACACCCCACCAUGCCCAUCACCCCCGCACCUGCACCUGUAACCCCUGAGCUACAACACCUCCUUUGCUCACCAAGAUGGAGACAGUCGUUCGCAUCAGAUCACACGUGGUUUCCUGCCACAAUGCUGCAGAAUCGCGGGCUGCAGGGAAGUGUGUGGAUGGAAACUCAGCAGCAGGCUAGCCCAGUGAGCCAGGUGGGCUCUUGCGAGUGGGCUGCCACCUGUGCUCUCCAGUAGCCUCACAGCGUCGCGCCCCUGCCCUCGCCUGCCUUGCCCCCUUCUGUACCACGUCCUGUUCCUCUCUGCGCAAGCCCAGGUCGGCUGUGAGGUCACGACCUCUGAGCCGUAAGGAUGCUGAUGUCCCCUGGCCACCAUCGGUCAGUUGGAGGUGUCCGAUCACCACCAUCACUAAGUCUUCAGAGCCGGCACUGGGGUCACCUAGGCUGCCUGGGGUGGUGAGGUCCCCAGUGGGUUCCCGACACAGAGGGCAGGAAGGGGGCCGCGGGCGAGCCUCACUCUGCAGAUGGCGUCCAGUGCUUCCUGACUGGUAGGAGAGUAAGGAGGAGACUUAGAAACGCAGGACCCUUGGAGGAGGUUCCCUCAUGGAGCCCUCCCUGUCGCUGGCUGCUUAGAGGCUUUAGAAACAUGGCUUUUUCCCGUGGCUUUAGAAUCAUGCCCUUCGAUCGCAGCAGUUUGUAACCCUGCCCACCACAGGGCUUUGCAGAAACUUGUGGGAUUCCUGGGGCUUGCUGAAUCUAUAGAGUAUUUGGAUAAGACCAUGCUCUUGUGCAGUGAGCUUUUCUGACGAUUUGUGGACCAGGGGCCGUGACCAGUGGGAAGGUGCUGAGCUCGGAGCCCCACUCCUGGCUCGAGACUCCUGUCACUUCAUCUCGGGUCUCUUCACGCCCUGUGAUGGAAAUAGGCCCCAAUUUAUCCUGAAGCUCAGUUGUCUGAAUCCCACGUGAAAGCCCAGCACAGCUUGGGUAUAGAGACAACCCGUCCAGAAACCACUGGAAGGCCUCAGUGAUCUUUAGUCUGAGCUGACACUGUGAACAAAUAUCCUACCCAGCUUGUUCUCCACGUGCUGGUUCUUUAGUUUUGUUUUUAUGUUUUUGAAGAGCUAUAUCAAGGCUUCUUCAGAAAUUAGAUUUAGAUAGAACAUCCCUGGUGGUAGAGUGGGUUAAGAAUCUGCCUGCCAAUGCAGGGGACACAGGUUGGACCCCUGGGCCGGGAAGGUUUCACAGGUCUCAGGCAGCUGCAGCGUGUGCACCACGACAGCUGGAGCCUGUGUGCCCAGGGCUCAUGCUCCGCGACGAGAAGCCACCACAGUUAGAGUGCAGUGCAGCACACUCCAUGCGCUGCAAUGAAGAGUAGCCCCCAUCUCUGCAACUAGAGAAAGCCUGCCUGCAGCGACAAAGAUCCAGCAUGGCCAAAAAUUAAUUAAUUAAUGUUUAAAAGUGUUCUUCUGAAAGAAAAAAGAAAUCUAAUUUAGAUAAACAGAGAAGGAUUAAUGUUGAGUUUCCAAGCUCUGCCCCACAAGAAGGAAGAUGUGGUGAAGUUACUGUGACCAUGACUUCACAGCUGGAGAACGAGAUCUCCGAGGCCUGCGGGGCCCAGACUAAGCCUCAGUGAGUCUCCUGGUAGAGAGUAAUCCAACUUUCAAAGAGGACAGAAACCAACCGGUGUCUGCAGAUUGCUGGCUCUGCUGGGGCAUUGCCGGGUAGUCGAGGCGCCUGAUCGGAUCAGAUGCCUUACCCCUGGGAAGUUAGAGUGGAGUCAGGGAGAGCAGGUUAAACAGUGUUUAAAAUAUAAAUAACAAUUCUGGGAGACAGAGCCGCGCUCUAGAUGGCCCCCAGCAGCUGCCGGUGAGUCGUAGAGGCCGGUGAAUCCAGGUUUAGGUUCAGGACUCUUAGAGGCCAUUUCAGGAGAAGCAGAGAUGGAGCAAAGCCGCAGGGGCUGUUGCUUCUCUGCCUCAAGUGGCAUCUCUGGGUCACAUAGGAAGUGCAGUGUCAUCAGCAUGGGGGACACAUAUCCAGCCUUGAUUCUGCGUCUGUCAAGUGCAGGCAAGGUCAACUGAUAGAACCUCCUCCAGAAACCAGCCUGUGAGACCCUCCUUGGGGAGGGUCCGUGGCCCCCCAUGCUGUCCUCAGUCCGGGCGACCUUUCCAGGUGCCAGAUGGAAACACAGGGGAUCCCCUGCCCACUCCCCUGAGGAGUGUGGGACCCGGCCACACCCCUCUGUGGGCUGCUACCUGAGACCUGAGACGGGAUCCACGGGGCCGGAAUCAUGGGACCUGAGACCUGAGACGGGGUCCGCGGGGCCAGGGUCGUGGGACCUGAGACCUGAGACGGGGUUCGCGGGGCCGGGGUCGUGGGACCUAAGACGGGUCCACAGGGCCGGGGUCAUGGGACCUAGGACCUGAGACGAGACGGGGUCCAUGGGGCCGGGGUCGUGGGACCUGAGACCAGUCCACAGGGCUGGGGUCGUGGGACCUGAGACCUGAGACAGGGUCCGCUGGGCCGGGGUCGUGGGACCUGAGACGGGUCCGUGGGGCUGGGGUCGUGGGACCUGAGACCUGAGACGGGGUCCACGGGGCCAGGGUCAUGGGACCUGGGACCUGAGACGGGGUCCGUGGGGCCAGGGUCGUGCGACCUGAGACCGGUCCGCAGGGCUGGGGUCGUGGAACCUGAGACCUGAGACGGGGUCCGUGGGGCCGGGGUCGUGGGACCUGGGACCUGAGACCUGAGACAGGUCCGCAGGGCAGGGGUCAUGCGGCCUGAGGCCUGAGAUGGGGUCCGCGGGGCUGCUCGUUUUCGUGGCCACCAGGGGCAUGGCGUCAUUACAGAGUCAAUUAGAGUGCGUGCGUGCCGGUCCUGUUGAUUUGAUUUAGAGCGAGGAAAGCUCCAGUAAUGUGCAAUUACAAGAAACUUAAUGGCCCUUUAUACUGAAGGCAACUUCCAUGGCACCUAAUAUACUUUGAUGAAUUACUCAUUAUGUGCAGUGUUGGAAUAGUUUCUAUAAAGAUUAAUAAUUGGAUAAUCAAUACAAAAAUUCAAUCUUGGUUUUUGCUUUUUUCCUACUCCAGGGUCAAUAUGUCCUGAAGAUUAUGGGACCUGUCUCAUUUGCCCGAAUUUUCUGCCUCCCUGCUUCACUCUCUUUCCGAUGUUUUCCAAAUUAGGAGUUUACACAUCGAUUACCAAGUUGGUGUUGCACUUUUUUCUUCAUGCCUUCUGUGGUGGUUUUUUUUUUCCUGUCCAAAUCUUUAUGGAUCUGCUCUUUAUGGAGUGAGCAAACAGGUUCUGCUGUUAGUGGGUUUUGUCAACCCGCAGGUACAGUUGACCCUCCAGGUGGGCUCGUGCCGUGAGGAGGUCGGGGGUUAGCUGGCGAGGCUGGCCACGGGACUGCAUGUCCGGGUCACCCUGUGUGAGCUGGGCCCGAGCUGAGGUGGGGACGCAGGCAGACAUGACGGCCUGGGGCCGGUGAGAUUCAGGAGGGACUCUGGAGCCAGGAGGUUGGGCAUGCUGCCGUAUAGCGGCCGUGCCUGCACCCUCGGAGACAAGGACAUCCAUCCCUCUGUGCCCAGCAUGGGGGGCUAGGGGCUCCAAGGCCAUUAGUUGACACUGAACUAGGGGCAUAACCCAGUGAACAGGCGAGAGGUCCAUGCCAAGCCCCUGCCACCAGCCUCGCCCCCCAGUGAGCAGCCAGAAGCUCUUAGCUGUCCGUCCAUGGGCUGCCCGGGGUCUGCAGCACAAAACCUCUUCUCAGUGAUUUGAACGAUAGUUUAGAAUAUUCUAAAGGUGAGGAAAACGUGCUUUUCUGUCCACAGGGACAUGGGCGUGGACUUCAGCACAGCAGCUCUAGAGACUUCUCUUCUGUGGCACCCAGAAGGUUUCCUGUCUGCCCCCCAGCCAGCCCAGGGCUCCCUAGACGUUCGUGGGUGCGAACUGAGUCCCUGGCGUCUGCUUAGCAUGUCCGGUCCCUGGGAUCUUGUUAGAGUGUUCGGUGGGCCUGGAUGGGGCUCGGGGUCUGCCACAGGCGGCACAGCGUCCCUGGCUGGCAGGAGCUCCGGGCCUGGGCCAGGCAGGGGAGGUGGCCAGUCCGAGCAGGGUGGGGUGAUGGCCCAGUAGGGCACAGGCCCGUGUGUCACUGGUCAUCGUAGGAUGGCGGAUGCUGGGUCUGCCUGUCCCCAGCUUCCUUCUGACCCUGGUGCUUGGUCAUGAAAGGGGACAAAAGGACUGCGUGCGGGUCCCUGGCCCCUUACAAGGUUCCCCGCCGUGGGGGAGGGGACAGCGGCAGUCACCCCUCUGCCCUGUGUUGCCUUCAGACGCAGUCCUCUCAUCGGCCAUGUGCGGACGCAGUCAAACCAGACAGACCUACUGCUGAUGCUCGGGGGGCUGAGGGCUUAGUUCAGGGUCACGGUUAGCUUUGAGGCAGGGUUUCUCUUCCUGUGAACCCAUGUCUCCGGAGCUUCCUUCAUUGGCAGCGUCUUUCGACCAAAACUGGUGCCAGCUGAGAGGUCAUGGAUCCUGCACCGGAUGGUCCUAAGAGCCCCAGACUCGGAGCAGGCACCUCUGACCUCACUGACCGCCCCCCUCCCCCCCGGCCCCACAGAGAAGGACUGGCCCCAUGCUGACUGUCGCGGGUCCAGGGAUGCCCGCAACCGGGAAGGGGGCCCGAGCUCCCUAAGCCAGGGACAGGGCACGCCUGCCAAAACCACAGCGGCUCCUUGUCGAGGUCUAUUUGUUUAAUUUUACUUUUUAAUUAAACGGGUCUCUUAAUUGUUUUUAUUUUUCCAACUUUGUUAAUUGUCAGCAUAGGAACUUCAUCACUGGGGCAAUGUGUUCCCCAGUGGCACAAAGCAGGCCCGGGAAAAGUGCUUGUUGGUGGUUUAAUGACCCCAGUGAGUAAUGCGGAGCGAGCUUGGCACAGCUAGAAUAAUGGCCCAGGUCACAUGGAAGGCGUCCACCGCACACACCAGCGGGAGGCCAGGGGCGAGCGGGGACCCUCCCGUCACGUGGCCCCCACUCCCCACGGACGCUGCAGUUUCCACACGGGCCGUUUGCAUUAUUUGGAGUAUUCAGGCUAAAUGAGGAAGUGGCCAUGGAGGCAGGACAAUUAUUCUGUUUUAAUGGCUGGCAGCCCCGCGUAACAGAGGUGCCUGUCAGGGCCAACCCGCAUCCAGCUGGGAGGGUCAUGUUUUAUUAAAACCGUGACUGUUGUCAUCCAGCCCCUCUGCCAUCCCAUUCUCUCCUUCCAAAAAUAGCAGGCCCCGUGGCAGUGGCUUAUUAUGAUUAAAAAGAUAAAAAUAAGUGAAGGCUGAAAUAGGUCCAGGACACCCGAGGUAACACGAGAACUUACUUUUUAAUGAAACUUGAGAAACUGUUUUAUUUUCCACUGCCUCACAAAGCAUCUCUGGAAAAAAAGAAAAAGUGAAGAAUGAUUUUAGUGCUGUUGCAACUCUGCAUUUUCAGAAUUACGGCAGUUGUGAUGCACACGUGGCAAAAAUCACCGUUUUCAGUCCAGAGUCUUACAGGGCGGCACCUCCUCAGGGAGGGAAAGGGGCUGCGGGUGGACCAGACAUGGUCACGCUGGACCUGGGAGACUGCCCAGUGCCCACCUGUGAGGGAGGUGGACUUGCCACGAGGUCGCCUCUUCUCAGGAAACUGAACACCCACACAGAGCCACACCUCAUGCUUCCUGCACGGGGCACACACUCCCCUGGUGCCUCUGCUCUCUGAACUGUGGCCUUAACCGUGUUGAAUCAUGGCUUAGCUCAAGUCCACAGAGACAACCGAGUGUGCCUGCCUGUAUCCAGUGCAAAUGGGGACACAUCCAUCCCAUCGGUGACGGAAUCAGGAGUGAACGUCCUUAUGUCUGCAAGGACGCACAGCCACCAGAAAGGGCUUCCUUACCCAAGAAUCACUAGGUUUGCAGGCAAGCACAGCAAUCAUGAUCCGGAGACUUCCUAGAAGUUAGUUCCUUAAGAAUAGAUUCGGCUGAGACAUUUCUGCUUCCGUCCACCUAAAUUAUCAUCCUCUUAAGUUACUUACAUACUAACUUUAGCCAAAGGUGCAUUUUCUGGGAAAGUUAGCAAAUACUUUUUUAAAUUAUCUUUUAGUUAUAGGAAUGGGAAAGAAUAUCCUUCCUGUUUUGUUUUGCUCUUCAGAAAGCUAUUUUGGCUUUCCCUUAAAAAUAAGAAUGAUUUUGAUGACUUGUCCUCUAGAAGGAUGUGCGUUUUUCUACCCCUUGGAGGAAGAUGGAGUGAAGAAGUAAUAGUUGCUCUUGUGCCGUAUACUUACUUAUGUGCUGUAUUUAAUUUGAUCAUGAGCUUUGAUGGAAAGUCAUGGGAUCUCGUACGGCAUGGGGUGGUGCGUUCGCGCUGAGAUGGGGACAGAAUUCUGUGGGAACCCCUUGGGGGAGUCACCAAGACUUUCUUUGUUUCUUAUAUUGCUCUUGUCUAAAGGACAGUGAUGCUCUAAAGAACUAGUUCUCUUCGUUAAAAAAGCAACAUCACAGCAUGUUGUAAAACCAGAAAUGGAAAAAAAUGACAGUGUCCCUGCUGGGCUGACUAGUUUGCUAAGUAGCAGUAGAUAAAUACUGUCAGUUUUUAAAAAUCCAUAGUACAAUUCGAUUCCUUAUUGGAACGUAACUAUCAAAAAAGAGAAUGAUGUUUUAAAGUGUAUUGUAUGUAGUUAGGUAUGUAAUUUGGAGAAGGAAAUGGCAACCCAGUCCAGUAUUCUUGCCUGGAGAAUCCCAUGGACAGAAGGGUCUAGCAGGCUACCAUCCAUGGGGUCACAAAAAGUCAGACACGACUAAGUGACUAACACACACACAGGUAUGUAAUUAGGCAUUAUAUCAACAAAUACUUUUUUUUUUAAUUGACACAAAAGUAUUAUUUGUAAGGCAUGGUCUUUAUCUGAGUAAGUUAACUUGAAAGCAAGGAUUAAACCGUGAGGCAAGGUUAACAUUGCUGAGCUAGAUUGUUACUCUCUGAGCCCAAACCCAGGCCUGAGAGACCAGGAGAUAGCUGUGUGAAGACAGCCGGAGGCUUCUGGCACCUGCUUCUCCUGGUCCUUCCUGCCCCGUGCCUGCAGCAGGAGGGCAGAGCCCGCCACCCGUGCGAACAGGCCACUGUCCUGCGUGUCACUGAGCCCAUGUCCAGCAAGAGCCCAGCAACACUGCUGGUGUCUGUGACCCACUCAGGGACGUGGCGAUGUCAUUAACCGGAGAAACCUACACGGGUCCUCUUCUGACAGGACAGGGAUCCACGCGGGACAUCAGGAACGUGGAAACUGAGAGCGGAGGGGCCGGGCCCACGUCCCGUCUUGUGUCUCGUGGUUGAACCCAGACUUCUCAGGGGCUUUAGAACAGGGCGGCCGCCCCUCACACAGCUGGUCAGGUUCUCUCUUACCGGUAGUCGGUAACUGAAAGUUCCCCGGAAGGCACUGGAGCAGCUCUGCUCCCUCUGCAGAGGCCAGAGGCGAGGCUGAUGGGGCCUCCUCAGCCGCUGUCCCGCUGCGCGGACACAGACCAGACCCCAGGGCCUCCCAGCGCAGGCUGCGGUGAGCCAGCCCACGGUGAGGCGACCGCUGUGUCUCCUGCCCUCCUGGUCCCGUCCACAGCGAUCCGAACAGUGAUCACCCCAGGGGGCUGGGAGGCACCGCGUCAUGCCUCGCCUAUCCCCGGCACAGGGAGCUCGAGUCCAGGAGGGGUCUGUUCUCCAUCUGACAGGACUGAGUUGGCGAUUCACGGGGCGGAAAGGGCCUCAGGCACGCCCAUGCCUUCAUAGCAGGACCUGCAGGCCCCAGGGAGCAGGCCGCUCCCUCGGGGAGCUGGAGGCCAGGUGAGGACGCCCAGCGGCCUGUGCAGCCCUGGCCCCACUGCACUCUGUGUUCUGACUCUGACCACGUGCCGUCCUGUAUCUCCCGGGGUCUCGGGAACCUGCGGGUGUCAGGACCCUGGGUUUUCCAUUGUACUCAUUCUUUCCUCUCUCAGAGCAAAGUGAUACUACUAUCACCGUGUUCAAAGUCCCGAUUUAUUCUAGAGUCAAACCCAGAAGCACACAUAUUGUGUCUUCACUUAGGGUAGGAAGUGGGGCACUUGGUGAUAAAGUCUCGGACAGAUAAGGUGGGGAUGCUGGCGAUGAGGAGCCACCUCGGGGCCACAGGAAUGAGAGGUGAUCAUAAGCAGGAGGGACGUGUGGAUGGUGGGCAGCUGCCACUUGGAUGUCAGACCUUAAAACUGGGCAGAGCCUGCUGGAGCUGCAAGAAGCCUGUCUGGCUGGGAGCAGCUCUCGGAGCCCCUGCCUGUCGGCACCAUGCGCAGGCACCACUGCGGGGGCGGGGUGCUGUUUCUGAGGCCCCUCCUGGCCUUGGACCCGCACCCACAGCGAGGGGCACCUGCAGGCUCGGCUGCCUGCAAUGUGGGAGCCGGGGCCAGCUGCCCACGUGCAGCUCCUCCAGGUCAGGGGAAAUGGUCAGCACAGAGACCCUGUGGAUUCCUUGGUCGCCUGCAACGUCUCUCCCUUAAAAAAAAAAAAAAGUUUCUAAAGCACAGAAAAGCAAUACAGGAAAAACGAAAGACAAAGUCUUUCUGGCUCAAACAGUGCACUGUGUGUGUAUGUGUGGUGGUGGGUGGGUGUGGAUUUUUUGUUUUGAAAACAUGCCGUGGAAAAGGAGACGAAAGACUGUGGCCUCGGCCUCUCUGGCCUCUGUGUUCUGAGCACCUUGCGGGUGAGGACGGUGAGGGUCAGGGGCAGAGAGGGCCUGGCGGGGGCCAACCCUGCAGGAGGGCGAGCGAGCAGGGCUUUGCCAGCCUGGCUGCCAGGGUCCCUGCCCCUGUGUGCGUCUCGCCAGCCUUUCCGACUUUCAUAGUCAAUACUGAGAAAGAGCAGGUCACGCGGCCCCGUGGAGCCCAAGGGAGCAGUCUGGAAGCUUCCAGACCCGUGGUGUGUGCAGGUAGGGAGGGGCGGCCCCAGGCUGAGGUCACCAGGUCAGGGUCUCAGCUUCUCACCUUCUCUCAGGGGCCAGGAUGGCUGAGCCUCCCCACCUUUACCUCCAUAGGAUUGCUGCAGGAUAAUACACAUGCAGGGGCUUAGAAACUAACCGUAGGAGUUGGGUAAAUAGUUUGUUCAUUCCUUAUGAUCUGUCUUGAGAUCUGUAGUUGCAUUCAGAAACCAAGAAUUCAGAAACGUGGGAACGUUUACUUAAAGGUCAGACGUUGAAAGGAGAGAAAUAUGUAAAAAACUAC